rnacentral:rRNA from 1 species
UACAGAAUCCCCGAGCGUUAUCCGGAUUUAUUGGGCGUAAAGGGUCCGUAGGCGGCUUAAUAAGUCUAGCGUUAAAUACCUUGAGCUCAACUUAAGGAAGGCGUUAGAAACUGUUAGGCUGGAGGGCGCUAGAGGCUGAUGGAACACUCGGUGUAGGGGUGGAAUCCGUUGAUAUCGAGUGGAACACCAAAAGCGAAGGCAUUCAGCUGGGGCGACCCUGACGCUGAGGGACGAAAGCGUGGGUAGCAAAAAGGAUUAGAUACCCCCGUA